rnacentral:rRNA from 1 species
AGAGUUUGAUCCUGGCUCAGGAUGAAUGCUGGCGGCGUGCCUUAGGCAUGCAAGUCAAGGGGGUUCCGUAAGGAACAACCGGCAGACGGGUGAGUAACGCGUAGGAAUCUACCUCUAGGUGGGACAUAGCUCAGAGAAAUCUGGGGUAAUUUCCCAUAGUCUCGUAAGAGUAAAGGACUUAACGGUCCGCCAAGAGAGGAGCCUGCGUCCUAUCAGCUUGUUGGUGGGGUAAAAGCCUACCAAGGCGAUGACGGGUAGCUGGACUGAGAAGUCGAUCAGCCACAACUGCACUGAAACACGGGCAGUACACCUACGGGUGGCAGCAACCGGGAAUAUUGCGCAAUGGGGGAAACCCUGACGCAGCGACGCCGCGUGAAGGAAGAAGGCCUAUGGGUCGUAAACUUCUUUUGCUAAGCCGCUCACAGCUUAGAGAAUAAGCCUCUACUAACUACGUGCCAGAAGUCUCGGUAAUACGUAGGAGGCAAGCAUUAUCCGGAUUCAUUGGGCGUAAAGUGUGCGUAGGCGGACUAGUGUGUCUUAUUUUAAAGACCAAGGCUUAACCUUGGAUUUGGACAGGAAACUACUAGACUUGAGGAUUAAUCGGGGUGAUAGAACAGUAGGUGUAGCAGUGAAAUGCGUUGAUAUCUACUGGAAUACCAAAGGCGAAGGCGUCACCUGGGUUCUUCCUGACGCUGAGGCACGAAAGCUGGGGUAGCGAAACAGAUUAGAUACCCUAGUAGUCC